CGGGUGAGUAACACGUGGAUAACCUACCUAUAAGACUGGGAUAACUUCGGGAAACCGGAGCUAAUACCGGAUAAUAUUUUGAACCGCAUGGUUCAAAAGUGAAAGACGGUCUUGCUGUCACUUAUAGAUGGAUCCGCGCUGCAUUAGCUAGUUGGUAAGGUAACGGCUUACCAAGGCAACAUGCAUAGCCGACCUGAGAGGGUGAUCGGCCACACUGGAACUGAGACACGGUCCAGACUCCUACGGGAGCAGCAGGC
rnacentral:rRNA from 1 species